GCCUGGAUAGUUAACUCUGUAUAACAUCAGACAUUUAAUCUUAUGCUCCAGGGUUCGAGUCCCUGUUUGACCU
rnacentral:tRNA from 1 species